rnacentral:rRNA from 1 species
UGACGACCAUAGCAAGGUGGUCCCACUCCUUCCCAUCCCGAACAGGACAGUGAAACGCCUUUGCGCCGAUGAUAGUGGACGGACGUCUGUGAAAGUAGGUCAUCGUC